CCUACGGGAGGCAGCAGUGAGGAAUAUUGGUCAAUGGACGAGAGUCUGAACCAGCCAAGUAGCGUGAAGGAUGACUGCCCUAUGGGUUGUAAACUUCUUUUAUAUGGGAAUAAAAUGUUCCAUGUGUGGGAUUUUGUAUGUACCAUAUGAAUAAGGAUCGGCUAACUCCGUGCCAGCAGCCGCGGUAAUACGGAGGAUCCGAGCGUUAUCCGGAUUUAUUGGGUUUAAAGGGAGCGUAGGUGGAUUGUUAAGUCAGUUGUGAAAGUUUGCGGCUCAACCGUAAAAUUGCAGUUGAAACUGGCAGUCUAGAGUACAGUAGAGGUGGGCAGAAUUCGUGGUGUAGCGGUGAAAUGCUUAGAUAUCACGAAGAACUCCGAUUGCGAAGGCAGCUCACUGGACUGCAACUGACACUGAGGCUCGAAAGUGUGGGUAUCAAACAGGAUUAGAUACCCGAGUAGUC
rnacentral:rRNA from 1 species